GCCCUGGUAGUUCAGUGGAUAGAACGCCUCCCUGCGGAGGAGGAGGUCAGAGGUUCAAAUCCUCUCCAGGGUGCCA
rnacentral:tRNA from 2 species